UACGUAGGGGGCAAGCGUUGUCCGGAUUUAUUGGGCGUAAAGAGCGUGUAGGCGGCCGCACAGGUCCGUUGUGAAAACUGGAGGCUUAACCUUCAGACGUCGAUGGAAACCGUGCGGCUAGAGUCCGGAAGAGGAGAGUGGAAUUCCUGGUGUAGCGGUGAAAUGCGCAGAUAUCAGGAAGAACACCCGUGGUGAAGGCGGCUCUCUGGGACGGUACUGACGCUGAGACGCGAAAGCGUGGGGAGCGAACAGG
rnacentral:rRNA from 1 species